rnacentral:rRNA from 1 species
CCUACGGGAGGCAGCAGUGAGGAAUAUUGGUCAAUGGCCGGAAGGCUGAACCAGCCAAGUCGCGUGAAGGAAGACGGCCCUACGGGUUGUAAACCUCUUUUGUCAGGGAGCAAGAUGCAGGUCGGGACCUGCUGUGAGAAUACCUGAAGAAAAAGCAUCGGCUCACUCCGUGCCAGCAGCCGCGGUAAUACGUAGGAUGCGAGCGUUAUCCGGAUUUAUUGGGUUUAUUGGGUGCGCAGGCGGAGGCACAAGUCAGCGGUAAAAUCGCGGGGUUCAACCCCGCUCCGCCGUUGAAACUGUGGCCCUUGAGUGCGCGCAGGGUAGGCGGAAUGCGUGGUGUAGCGGUGAAAUGCAUAGAUAUCACGCAGAACUCCGAUCGCGAAGGCAGCCUACCGGCGCGCAACUGACGCUGAGGCACGAAAGCGUGGGUAUCGAACAGGAUUAGAUACCCCUGUAGUC